rnacentral:rRNA from 1 species
UGUAGUCUCGCACAGAUGCAUAUCAAUAAGCGGAGGAAAAGAAACUAACAAGGAUUCCCCUAGUAACGGCGAGUGAAGCGGGAAGAGCUCAAAUUUGAAAUCUUAAAGGGUUUCCCUUUACGAAUUGUAGUUUAAAGAAGUGUUUUCUGUUGAGGUUUUGGUAAAAGUUCUUUGGAAUAGGACAUCAUAGAGGGUGAGAAUCCCGUAUUUGACCUUUACUUUCAACUUUGUGAUACACUUUCAAAGAGUCGGAUUGUUUGGGAAUGCAGUCCAAAAUGGGUGGUAAAUUUCAUCUAAAGCUAAAUAUUGGCGAGAGACCGAUAGCGAACAAGUACCGUGAGGGAAAGAUGAAAAGAACUUUGAAAAGAGAGUUAAACAGUACGUGAAAUUGUCAAAAGGGAAGCGUUUGACACCAGUGUUGUUUUUCUGAAAAUCAAUUAAAGAACUGUUUAUGCUAAGCUGUUUAGACUUUAUCAGCUAUCUGUUUAGUUUUGAGCUUUUCUUUAAUGCACUUUUCAGUUAACAAGUCAACAUCAAUUUCUUUUGCUGUAAAAAAGCUUGAGGAAGGUGGCUUGAGAUUCGUCUUAAGUGUUUAUAGCCUCUUGCCUAUGCAGUCGGAGAGAUUGAGGUCUGCAGCGUAGAUCCUUCGGGGCUAAAUGCAUUUGUGCUAAGUUAUAGCAUUUUAUAGACAACUUGUUGACUAUGAUUUGUCUUGUAGCUUACUCGCUUAUGUUAUUUUACCUACGCUUAGGAUGUUGAAGACUCUACAGAGAUA